UGAGUAACGCGUAAGGAACCUGCCUUUUAGAGGGGAAUAACAAUGAGAAAUCAUUGCUAAUACCGCAUAUGCCAUAGUUAUCACAUGAUAAUAGUGGGAAAGGAGCAAUUCACUAAAAGAUGGCCUUGCGUCUGAUUAGAUAGUUGGUAAGGUAACGGCUUACCAAGUCGACGAUCAGUAGCCGGACUGAGAGGUUGAACGGCCACAUUGGGACUGAGAUACGGCCCAGACUCCUACGGGAGGCAGCAG
rnacentral:rRNA from 1 species